rnacentral:rRNA from 1 species
CGCCUGCCAACGGGGACCCCUUCAAAACGCUUUGUAAUACCUGUCAUUGUCUGAUAUAACAAGCAAAAAUCAAAACUUUCAACAACGGAUCUCUUGGUUCUGGCAUCGAUGAAGAACGCAGCGAAAUGCGAUAAGUAGUGUGAAUUGCAGAAUUCAGUGAAUCAUCGAAUCUUUGAACGCACAUUGCGCCCUUUGGUAUUCCUUAGGGCAUGCCUGUUCGAGCGUCAUUUAAACCUUCAAGCUCAGCUUGGUGAUGGGUGACUGUCCCCUCCCUUCGCGGGGGGACUCGCCUCAAAAACAUUGGCGGCCGGUACAUUGGCUUCGAGCGCAGCAGAAACGCGGUCUCGAGCCCGGUGGAUCGGCUCCCAUAAGCCUCAUUCUUUAUUUUGACCUCGGAUCAGGUAGGGAUACCCGCUGAACUU